GGAAAUGUUUUGUUCUCUUUUUUUCUCCCACGUACAGGGUAAGACCUGGAAUGAAGUCAUGGAAACACAGCAGAAAUUUCCUACUAAUCAAUUAGACUGAGAAAGUAGCAAGAGGCUGUGUGGGAACGCUUCACGAACAAGCUUUGGUUUUGUGAACUGUCUUUUCGACAUUAUCAAGGACUUUAUCUACCCUUCCGAGACUUCACCAUCCUUGGAUUUCAUUUCCAUGCUCACAAAGGUAAAAGCCUUUUUGGAGAUCUCAGCUUCAUGUAAUAAAUUCUCCAUCUCUCGGCAUAGUCGUUAAUAGCUGCUUGGUUGUUGUUGUCCUUCUGGGGAAAGCUCCACCAGCACCUCCCACAAAACCAUCCCCUUCUCC
rnacentral:lncRNA from 1 species